rnacentral:misc_RNA from 1 species
UAAACGUGGGGAAGAUCUUCUGAAAGCAGAGGAGACAGCUGCAAAGUAUCGUGCUACUGGAACUGCUCCAAAGAAGCUUCUUGGAUGUUUUUAGACAUGAAUACUCAGGUUUAAAUGAACAUUGCAUUAUUUUUGUAUUUAAUUGUGAGUUAUUUGUUAAUUGAGUUGUGUUUGUUCAUAGGGGAAGUUGGCCAAUUAUUGCGUGUUCAUGUUGAUGUAUUGUGUAUAUAUACCAUGUGAAUUGGAAGCUUGACUUAUUGAAUUUGUAAAAAGUGAGUAUGAAUCAUCAACGAAAACUUUAAAACGAUAAAAAUUACGGCAUGUAACCAUUUGAAUUGAAACCCGAAGAAACAAAAACAAGAUGUGUGUGGUUCCGCAGGAUACCUCAGUUUUUACAUGAUUAAUGAGUCCCUCAAUUCUCCUUUUUCUCAUAUCUUAAUGGACACAUUUUUUUUGACUGUAAAUGAGAUUCGGGUUUUUAUUCUAUGAUUCUGACCAAGGGCCCUGUUACCAAGGGCCCUGUUAUUCUUGCUUUAACAUCUCAGGGACAGGGUUUUGGAAGACUGUUGCUGUUGGAGAUUUGGUACUGUCACACUAAACUUAUAUGCUGCUGGGAUCUGAAAGUAGUCUAAUUGACAAAAUACUAAAUUUUAGAAGUCAGAAGUUCAAAUUCAGUUUGUGAAAGGAAAACCAGAAACCAAACUAUAGAAAAAUCCUUGAGAACCACUGGAUAUCAGUUGUGCUGUAAAAUCAUGCACAAAAAACAUCCCUGACAACUUUGGAUGAACUGAGACAAAAAAAAAUAAAAAUAAAAUAAAAAAAAGCUCAUCUUUUAUCAUACGUUCGUCUCCUACUGGACUCCCACUUGAUUUCAGAGAAGAAAGCUUGUAAUCAAGUAACUGCCUCAUCCUUCUUAGAUUCUCGGAAAUCAACCAUAGCACUGAAACAAGAAAAAAAACUAGCUGCACUGUACGUUAGAUGUCAAAGGGCGGCCAAAAAUCACCAUCUGCUUCAAUAUUGCCCUUUCCCUUCUAACAGUACACACAACAAGAAGCAGAAAGUUUGAGGAAAAACAGUCUCAAUCACACUUGAGAUUGAGGUAGCUGGUAAAAUUUUUCGGUGUGUCCUUCCAAGAAUUCCAUAUCAUUACCACCUGGAAUAUCCAACAGCAGCUUCAAUGCUGUAUCUGAAUAAUCAGUAAAUUCAUUAAAGCUAAUGGAAUCCGAACCAGUUAUGAUAUCUGCAUUUGGUUUGCAGUUAUCUUCUUGUUCAUGAGUGGUCUCCUGUUCAAUGGACAUCAUUUGAAACUCAUUGUCAUUGUCAACUGAACUAGACCCAAAUUUUGUCCAUGAAGAUGCCUGCAAGAUAGGACUUUCACAUGCUCCCCCAUCUUUUCCAUUGACAUUACGAAAUGGUUCCCCAACUUCAGAGUUCCAUAUCCGGGGAAAGUAAUUAUUUUCCAUCUUAACCGAUGAUGAUGGGUUAAGCAACAAUGAUUCCAUUGACAGACGAGCCUCAGCCUCAACCCUAGCGCUCUCCCAAUGUACCAUGUGCUGGGUUGAUGGAGACUGCCAUUUUAUAUUGAUGGGACCCCAAGAGGAGCUAAAAAUCUGCAACUUUUGAUCCAAGGAAGAAAGACGCUUCUUCAGAUGUGUAUUCCAAAAGUUCUUAAUCUCAUUGUCAGUUCUUCCAGGUAAUUGUGAUGCUAUGGAUGCCCACUUGUUACCAAGCAUGCCAUGAAGUUGAAUAAUCGUAGCUUCUUCUUCAGGUGUAAAGGGACCUCGUUUAAUGUCAGGGCGAAGAUAGUUUGUCCAUCGAAGCCGACAGCUCUUUCCGCAUCGAAGGAGACCUGCAUUCUUUGGGAGGGAACGCCAACUACCAUGACCAUGUUUUUGGAUGUACUGAACCAAGAUUCUGUCUUCUUCAGGGCUCCAAGCCCCUUUCUUCACUCCAUCAUUAUCGCAACAAUAAGUUCUUCCCAUCUUCUUCUUUUCACCUCCUCUUUGCGAAUUGAUGUUCUUCUCAAUAGAUGUCAUCAAUUCUUCUCGCAAAACAAACUCUAAAAUUGGUGUUCUUCUCAAUGGAGUUACAAACGCAAGAUGAACUAGCAGUAGUGGCGGAGUUAUAACUCUGCACGAAAAUCCUGUAGCGUCUCCAUUCCUUUUGUUGACACGAGUAACGUGGAG